GACGAACGCUGGCGGCGUGGAUUAGGCAUGCAAGUCGGACGGUAGGGCUUUAUCGUAAGAUAGAGUUUGAGAGUGGCGAACGGGUGAGUAACACGUAGGAAUCUACCCUUAAGACGGGGACAACCCAGGGAAACUUGGGCUAAUACCGGAUGAGAGUGCGAGAGAUUGCAUUUAAAAGGAUGGCGAAAGUUGUCGCUUAGGGAUGAGCCUGCGGUCUAUUAGUUAGUUGGUGAGGUAAGAGCUCACCAAGGCGAUGAUAGAUAGGCGGCCUUAACGGGUGUCGCCCACACUGGGAUUGAGAUACGGCCCAGACUCCUACGGGAGGCAGCAGUCGAGAAUAGUCUACAAUGGCCGGAAGGCUGAUAGUGCGACGCCGCGUGAACGAGGGAGCCCUUCGGGGUGUAAAGUUCUUUUCUAUACGAGCAGUGCUAUAUAUAUGGAUAGUAUAUAUAGAGGGAUAGUAGUAUAGGAAUAAGAACGGCUAAACUCCGUGCCAGCACGG
rnacentral:rRNA from 1 species